rnacentral:lncRNA from 1 species
UUUUUUUUUGAGAGAUAGGUAGCACGCUAUUCGCUUCGUUUAUUUCAUUUGGAAAUAAACUUAGCUAAAAAAUAUGAAUAAACUAUUUUCUUGUUUGAACAAGUUCUUGAAUUAACUUUAGGCCAGUUAUGAACUUGCGAAGUGCAUUUUUUUUUUUAAUUUUAUGGAGAUGACAUCUAGUUCCUAACAUAUAGUUAAAGGUUGAAUGGUUGAUAUGCAAAAUUUUAAGUUUGAAGUCUAAUUAUUUUAUAUUAAAUAAAUGAAGUCUAAUUAUUUUAUAUUAAAUAAAUGAAAGAGGUAGAUAGCAUGCUACUUCUCUUGCUCAGUCCAAAGCAUUCCUAACUCAGGUGGUAAAAAAUUUAAUGGCUGGUACGUGAAAUUUCAAGUUCGAAGUUUAAUUGUUUCACAUUUUCAGCUAAGUUUAUUAUUAUUUAUUUUUUAAAAAGAAUGAAACGGGUAGCAUACUAUCUUUCUCUUACUGAACAAGGAUAGAAAAGCUUCAAAUACCACCCACAUGGUUCAGCAUUUUCUCACUUUAAUUCCUAUCAUGUGGUUUAAACUGUAUUAUUUUAGUACCCUGUGUUUUUGUUUUUUUCUUUUCAUUAUUCCGUCUGUUAAUUUUUUUUAUUAAAUCAAUGAGAAAGUUAAAGCCAUAGAAUAUUAAAGUAAAAAUUUUGCAAGCUUUAGGAUACUAAAGUGAAUUUCGAUAAACCGCAGGAGAGUAUCUGAAGUUUUUUUUAUAUAUUUUAAUAGAGUUAACAGAUGUGCUGAGAAAAGAGAAAAAUAAAGACACAUGGUAAAGUUAUACACUUUAAAUCAUAAAAUACUAAAAUAAGAAGUGCUAAAUCACAAGAGGUAUAUUUGAAGUUUUUUCAAAAAAAAUAAAGACAUGUGCUGGAC